GAUGAAGAACGCAGCGAAAUGCGAUACGUAAUGUGAAUUGCAAAUUCAGUGAAUCAUCGAGUCUUUGAACGCACAUUGCGCCCGCCAGUAUUCUGGCGGGCAUGCCUGUCCGAGCGUCAUUUCAACCAUCAAGCCCCCGGGCUUGUGUUGGGGACCUGCGGCUGCCCGCAGGCCCUGAAAACCAGUGGCGGGCUCGCUGUCACACCGAGCGUAGUAGCAAUCACCUCGCUCAGGGCGUGCUGCGGGUUCCGGCCGUUAAACAGCCUUACAAAACCCAAGGUUGACCUCGGAUCAGGUAGGAAGACCCGCUGAACUUAAGCAUAUCAAUAAGCGGAGGA
rnacentral:misc_RNA from 1 species